UGGGGAAUUUUGCACAAUGGGGGAAACCCUGAUGCAGCGACGCCGCGUGAUUUAGAAGGCCUUCGGGUUGUAAAAAUCUUUUGUAUGGGAAGAAAAUGACAGUACCAUACGAAUAAGGACCGGCUAAUUACGUGCCAGCAGCCGCGGUAAUACGUAAGGUCCGAGCGUUGUCCGGAAUCAUUGGGCGUAAAGGGUACGUAGGCGGAUAAGCAAGUUAGAAGUGAAAUCCUAUAGCUCAACUAUAGUAAGCUUUUAAAACUGCUCAUCUUGAGGUAUGGAAGGGAAAGUGGAAUUCCUAGUGUAGCGGUGAAAUGCGCAGAUAUUAGGAGGAAUACCGGUUGCGAAGGCGACUUUCUGGCCAUAUACUGACGCUGAGGUACGAAAGCGGGGGUAGCAAACAGG
rnacentral:rRNA from 1 species